ensembl:snRNA Gm23972 U1 spliceosomal RNA
AUACAUACAUGGCAGAUGAGACUCCAAGAUGACGAAGGUGGUUUUCCCAGGGUGAGGCUCCUCCCUUGCAUUCCUGAUGUGGAGGUUCCCAGGAUUUCCUCAAGUGGAAGAAGAAACUCAGCUGCCUGAUUUGUGGAAGUGGAGAAUAGCCGUGGCUGCACUUUC